CCAUGCUCCACCAGCCCAACCCUUUCUGUGUCUGUGAGUAAAUCUUUUACAAAAUGUGUCUAUUACAACAUUUUCUUUUGAGAUACUAAUUUCAUUUGUCUCCACUCAAAAAAACAAAAUGUGCCGGGCCAUAAUGAACGUUAGCUACACACUGAAACAACAUUAUGAAGGUUUUGGAUGGUUAGCUACUUUACCUCAGCAGGAUAAGCGAGCACUCGUUACUCGCGCGGCGACAACAAACUCGCGAGGUUCGUGAUUGGUCGGUGAGAAAAUGCUACACCACAUUUCUGUCUGGUUUCAACUGCUGGGGAUCUGUAGCUGGGUGAGGUGAGGUAAGGUUUGCAAUGGCGAAAAAACGAACAUAUUACAAAGCAUAUCUUUACGACGAUCGACAGAGGACUCCCAGAAGUACACUACAAAUGAGUUUGAAGAGAUGUGACCCACCAACUGAAGGAGGAUCCACUGAGCAUCAACACUGUGCGCAGAGCCUUGCAGAGAGUCAGGAGGCAGCAAGUGUUAUGCAAGAAGUCAAUGACACAGCUGGUCAGCAAUAAGUCAUUGAAGAUGGUGGAUGGACUACUGAGAUUUCUGUGGAAAGUCAAGAGAGUCUGCAUGAGGACCAUGACUGAUGAUGAAGAGGAGGAGGAAGUUGGGAAUGAGAGUUCUACGGUGAGUCAAGAGAAUCAAGAUGAGGACCCUGACAAUGAAGAGGAGGAAGAUAUGAAUGAGGAUAUUUCUGAGAGUGAGGAGAAUCCAGAUGAAUGCCAUGAAAAUGAAGAGGAGGAAGAUAUGAAUGAGGGGCCAGACAGUCAAGAAAACUUGCCUGCAGAAUCCUUUCAUCCUUCAGAAUGUCACUGAAGAUGACUUACACCCAUAAGUAACUACAACACAUCUCACUGGUAAACAUAAUGUUUAUGUUUAACUCUUUUAUAUAACAUACCAACCAACAAUAACA
rnacentral:lncRNA from 1 species